CUUGGUGACCGUAGAGAGAGGGAAACACCUGAUCCCAUGUCGAACUCAGCAGUUAAGCUUCUCAUCGCCGAUGGUACCGUGCACUAGAGUAUGGGAGAGUAGGUCGUCGCCAAGU
rnacentral:rRNA from 1 species